UGUAAAAUAGUGCUGGAUGAAUUUUCUGUUUAAGAUGAUCAAUACUCAUAACUGUUUCAACAUCUAACUUCUCAGGACUGAAAGAAAAUUGAAAAAGCGUAUUUCCUUACCUGUAUUUUGCAAUGUUAACAGGAGGACUACAGGGAUGAAUAAGCCCAUGCCUUCAUCGAGUUUAUGACUCAUGAAACAGACAGACAACAAGCAGAAAGGUAGGUAUACAAUUUACCAGAUGAUAAUGGUUUUAAAUUCUAAGGAAUAAAAAGAAAAAGACACUAAAGCACAGAGGUUAAAAAAAA